rnacentral:rRNA from 1 species
CCUACGGGAGGCAGCAGUAGGGAAUCUUCCACAAUGGGCGAAAGCCUGAUGCAGCAACGCCGCGUGGGUGAAGAAGGUCUUCGGAUCGUAAAACCCUGUUGUUAGAGAAGAAAGUGCGUGAGAGUAACUGUUCACGUUUCGACGGUAUCUAACCAGAAAGCCACGGCUAACUACGUGCCAGCAGCCGCGGUAAUACGUAGGGGGCAAGCGUUAUCCGGAUUUAUUGGGCGUAAAGGGAACGCAGGCGGUCUUUUAAGUCUGAUGUGAAAGCAUUCGGCUUAACCGGAGUAGUGCAUUGGAAACUGGGAGACUUGAGUGCAGAAGAGGAGGGUGGAACUCCAUGUGUAGCGGUGAAAUGCGUAGAUAUAUGGAAGAACACCAGGGGCGAAGGCGGCUCUCUGGUCUGUAACUGACGCUGAGGUUCGAAAGCGUGGGUAGCAAACAGGAUUAGAUACCCCGGUAGUC